UUAUGGCCAUAUCGCGUUGAAACACCGGUUCUCAUGCAAUCACAAAAGUUAAGCAACGUCAAGCCUGGUCAGUACUUAGAUGCGUAGCCGCUUGGGAAUACUUGGAUG